rnacentral:lncRNA from 1 species
GUCAUUAUUAACUGAACAGCUGCACCCAAAAAGUAUUGAUUAAUAGAUCAGCGUCAGGCUACAAGGGGGCCAACAUCAAUAUGGUGCAGGCAAUGUCCUAGCCUGCCCUCUGCCCUGUUCAGAAUUUCUUCCAACUGCUGAAUGAACACCCAGGAAGUAUUUGCAUCUCAAAAACUGGGAGUGAUAGUUAAUAUUUAGGAUCACAAAAUCGAGAUUGAAGAAACUUCAAUAAAAUAGCAUUAUGAAGUAGAGCAUGAUGUAUGCUGGAUCAGAAAAUAAAUGCUAUAAUAUGGUACAAAGAGAAGAGCUGGCCUAAUAUUGUUUUUAAUGGAGUAAGCGCAUGAGCAAACAAAAACCGGAAGGAAGUUAGUACUCAUAUAGUUAGAAAUAAAGAGAAAGGGAAACUGAUAUGAACUCAGCCUGUAUUUUGGGCCAAGUGCGAUCACAGGCAUUUUGUAGAUCUUAAGGAGUCGAACACAAUCCUAGACUAUGUUAACAGGAUUGAGUGGCCAGAAUAAAGGGUGGACUAUUACAUGGUCUGCUGAGACGUUCAAACAAUAUGUGGAAUAUUGUGCCCAACCAACUGGAGAGACACGUAAACUUUGAACGGUUGUGAUCAUAUCCUGUCAGGAUGACCGGUUUGUACAUGACCGAUGGCACACUACGGCUCCACAAUCACCAGAUUAUUUUCCACAGAGUAGCGAGUGGGGAAGUCACGUAUAUGCACCGUGAAUAGUUUCUGUUUUGCAAGAGCCUGUCUAAAGGUCUGUUUAUAAAUGCUAUCUUGUACAUUCACUUAAUUAGUUAAUUAAUUAAUUAAUAUUUAUUUGAGACAA